rnacentral:rRNA from 1 species
GCCCGCUCAGAAACUCAAAGGAAUUGACGGGGCCCGCACAAGCGGUGGAGUAUGUGGUUUAAUUCGAUGCAACGCGAAGAACCUUACCUGGUCUUGACAUCCCGGAGACCCUUAGGAAACUAGGGGUGCUUCCAUCUGGAAGAAUCUGGAGACAGGUGCUGCAUGGCUGUCGUCAGCUCGUGUCGUGAGAUGUUGGGUUAAGUCCCGCAACGAGCGCAACCCUUGCCUUUAGUUGCCAGCAGUUCGGCUGGGCACUCUAAAGGGACUGCCGGUGUUAAACCGGAGGAAGGUGGGGAUGACGUCAAGUCCUCAUGGCCUUUAUGACCAGGGCUACACACGUACUACAAUGGCCGAUACAAAGGGCAGCGACACUGCGAGGUGAAGCCAAUCCCGUAAAAUCGGUCUCAGUCCGGAUUGGAGUCUGCAACUCGACUCCAUGAAGUUGGAAUCGCUAGUAAUCGUGGAUCAGCAUGCCACGGUGAAUACGUUCCCGGGCCUU